GGGCGGGUGGUGGAAUUGGCAGACGCGUACGUUUGAGGGGCGUAUGCAGCAAUGCGUGCGAGUUCGAGUCUCGCCCCGCCCACCA
rnacentral:tRNA from 1 species